rnacentral:tRNA from 2 species
GCGGUCGUGGCGGAAUUGGCAGACGCGCUAGAUUCAGGUUCUAGUGGGGUAAAACCCGUGGAGGUUCGACUCCUCUCGACCGCA